rnacentral:lncRNA from 1 species
GCCCAGCCCUCCAGAGACUCUCGAUUGUUGGUUUGCAAGAAAACCCAGAGUGAGGGCAUCAGGUGCGCUAGUGCUGUUUCCUGGUGCUCGUGUCUUCAAAGACCCCAAGUAUGCACAUGGGAUGACGCUGGCCACGCACCACCCACUCCGGCCACACGCAGGGGAGGCAAGUCCCUGGGGACUACCAGCCUCAGAGGUGCUGGAACCCAAAAGAACCUGAGGUCAGUGAAGCCGUGGAUGCCGACUCGCAUCUGAGCCAUCAGAUGUCCAGCUUCCAACCGCAGCUGUCUGGGCGGUCGGUCCCCUGGGCGCCAAAUGCUCUCGGACUCCCUCUUGUCCCCAUCUUCUGCACAGGUGAUGGGCCAGUAAGUAGCCUCAGAGGGCUAGUUCAUGUGUGCACCCAGGAGCCGGCGCCUUGGCCCUAUCCUCCGUACCUGAUUGCCGUCCACAGGAGCACUCGGAAGGGUCCUGGGGCAGGAGUACAGAGGUGC